rnacentral:rRNA from 1 species
GUGCCAGCCGCCGCGGUAAUACGAACCGAGCGAACGUUGUUCGGAAUCACUGGGCUUAAAGGGCGCGUAGGCGGGUGCUCAAGUCUGUGGUGAAAUCCUCCGGCUCAACCGGAGAACGGCCAUGGAUACUGGGUGCCUCGAGGGUGAUAGGGGUAUGCGGAACUAUCGGUGGAGCGGUGAAAUGCGUUGAUAUCGAUAGGAACUCCGGUGGCGAAGGCGGCAUACUGGAUCACUUCUGACGCUGAGGCGCGAAAGCCAGGGGAGCGAACGGGAUUAGAAACCCGCGUAGUCC